GAAACUGAGGAUAAUACUGGAUAGGCAAUUUUUCCUGUAAUGGUUUUUUGUUUAAAUGUUUUUUCGCCUAAGGAUGGGUCUGCGGCCGAUUAGGUAGUUGGUUAGGUAACGGCUUACCAAGCCAUUGAUCGGUACGGGUUGUGAGAGCAAGAGCCCGGAGAUGGAACCUGAGACAAGGUUCCAGGCCCUACGGGGUGCAGCAGGCGCGAAACCUCCGCAAUGUGAGAAAUCGCGACGGGGGGAUCCCAAGUGCCAUUCUUAACGGGAUGGCUUUUCAUUAGUGUAAAGAGCUUUUGGAAUAAGGGCUGGGCAAGACCGGUGCCAGCCGCCGCGGUAACACCGGCAGCUCUAGUGGUAGCAGUUUUUAUUGGGCCUAAAGCGUCCGUAGCCGGUUUAAUAAGUCUCUGGUGAAAUCCUGUAGCUUAACUGUGGGAAUUGCUGGAGAUACUAUUAGACUUGAGACCGGGAGAGGUUAGAGGUACUCCCAGGGUAGAGGUGAAAUUCUGUAAUCCUGGGAGGACCGCCUGUUGCGAAGGCGUCUAACUGGAACGGUUCUGACGGUGAGGGACGAAAGUUAGGGGCGCGAACCGGAUUAGAUACCCGGGUAGUCCUAACUGUAAACGAUGCGGACUUGGUGUUGGGGUGGCUUUGAGCUGCUCCAGUGCCGAAGGGAAGCUGUUAAGUCUGCCGCUUGGGAAGUACGGUCGCAAGACUGAAACUUAA
rnacentral:rRNA from 1 species